AGUGAACGCUGGCGGUAGGCCUAACGCAUGCAAGUCGAACGGCAGCACAGUAAGAGCUUGCUCUUACGGGUGGCGAGUGGCGGACGGGUGAGGAAUACAUCGGAAUCUACUUUUUCGUGGGGGAUAACGUAGGGAAACUUACGCUAAUACCGCAUACGACCUACGGGUGAAAGCAGGGGAUCUUCGGACCUUGCGCGAUUGAAUGAGCCGAUGUCGGAUUAGCUAGUUGGCGGGGUAAAGGCCCACCAAGGCGACGAUCCGUAGCUGGUCUGAGAGGAUGAUCAGCCACACUGGAACUGAGACACGGUCCAGACUCCUACGGGAGGCAGCAGUGGGGAAUAUUGGACAAUGGGCGCAAGCCUGAUCCAGCCAUACCGCGUGGGUGAAGAAGGCCUUCGGGUCGUAAAGCCCUUUUGUUGGGAAAGAAAAGCAGCAGGUUAAUACCCCGCUGUUCUGACGGUACCCAAAGAAUAAGCACCGGCUAACUUCGUG
rnacentral:rRNA from 1 species